GACGAACGCUGGCGGCGUGCUUAACACAUGCAAGUCGAACGAUGAAGCCCAGCUUGCUGGGUGGAAGAGUGGCGAACGGGUGAGUAACACGUGAGUAACCUGCCCUGAACUCUGGGAUAAGCACUGGAAACGGUGUCUAAUACUGGAUACGACCUAUCACCGCAUGGUGUAUGGGUGGAAAGAUUUAUCGGUUCUGGAUGGACUCGCGGCCUAUCAGCUAGAUGGUGAGGUAAUGGCUCACCAUGGCGACGACGGGUAGCCGGCCUGAGAGGGUGACCGGCCACACUGGGACUGAGACACGGCCCAGACUCCUACGGGAGGCAGCAGUGGGGAAUAUUGCACAAUGGGCGCAAGCCUGAUGCAGCAACGCCGCGUGAGGGAUGACGGCCUUCGGGUUGUAAACCUCUUUUAGUAGGGAAGAAGCGAAAGUGACGGUACCUGCAGAAAAAGCACCGGCUAACUACGUG
rnacentral:rRNA from 1 species